GACGAACGCUGGCGGCGUGCCUAAUACAUGCAAGUCGAACGCUUCCUACCGGUGCUUGCACCGGGAAAGAAGAGUGGCGGACGGGUGAGUAACACGUGGGUAACCUACCUACAAGCGAGGGAUAACAUUCGGAAACGGAUGCUAAUACCGCAUAGAUCUUUUUGUCUCCUGACAGAAAGAAGAAAGACGGUUUCGGCUGUCACUUGUAGAUGGACCCGCGGCGCAUUAGUUAGUUGGUGAGGUAAUGGCUCACCAAGACGAUGAUGCGUAGCCGACCUGAGAGGGUGAUCGGCCACACUGGGACUGAGACACGGCCCAGACUCCUACGGGAGGCAGCAGUAGGGAAUCUUCCGCAAUGGACGAAAGUCUGACGGAGCAACGCCGCGUGAGUGAAGAAGGUUUUCGGAUCGUAAAACUCUGUUGCUAGAGAAGAACAAGGAUGAGAGUAACUGCUCGUCCCUUGACGGUAUCUAACCAGAAAGUCAUGGCUAACUACGUGCCAGCAGCCGCCGUAA
rnacentral:rRNA from 1 species